rnacentral:rRNA from 1 species
AUGUGGAUUUAUGCAGACGGUUGCUGCUGUUUUUAUGUGUGUAGCAGUGAUCCAAAAAUGGAUGAUGAUGAAUCUUCCGAUGGGUCGUUUUCAACGCGCUUUUCAGCUAGCCGUUUGCGUGAGGUUGCAGAGAAGGAGCUAAAUGCUAACAAGAGGGCAGUGCUAGAGAAGUCGAGUUUUGGUUCGUUGUUGAAGAUCAGACCAUUUUCUGUACCUCUUGAGCUGAUUGACUGGGUAGUUAUGAGAAUUGACACUAAGCAUUCUUUGUUCAGCCAUAAAAAGAAGACUAUAUUGUUCACUAGAGACAUGGUGCAAAUUUUUUUUAAUGUCCCAUCCGGACCAAGGGUAGUGGAGCUGCUGAAGAGGAACGAACGUUGCGAGCUGUGCGACAUAUAUCGAGAAGGCACAAGGGCUCCAAUUAAGAAAUCCAUUUCUGUAAUCAAGAAAGCAUCGGAUAAUGAUGUUGUUACUUUAGAGAGGACUUGGGUUCUUUUAUGCCUUGCUCUCGUGCUAGUUCCUGGCACCGGCAACAUGGUCUCGUUGGACUACCUUGCUAGCUUGAAGGACUUGGAUGAACUGAAUGAGUUUGCGUGGGACGAGCAUGUGUUGGCAACUGCGUUGAGGGAGGCGAGGAAUUACCAACUAAAGAGGGAGGCUGGGGCAAGUGGCUUCUGGAUAGGGGGCUGUCUACCUAUGUUCGUGUUAAUUUACAUGGAUUUCCUGGAUGUGCCUCGGUCAUUGAUUAGUGAGGAGACGUUCAACUACUCGCUGCCCAGGGCUUGCUUUGUGUGCAAUGCAGAUUUUGAGCUUGUUAAAGAAUUUGACAGGAACAAGCUCACCCUCGAGAAGGUUGAUUUUGGAAAGCGCAAUCAUCGUCCUUUGUCUCAAACGCCAUAUGCAGUACUGAAGGCGGACAAGCAAUGUGAGGGUCAGAAUCAACAUCAUCCGGCAAAUAUCACUAAUAGAGCUGACAAAUCCAACACUCAAGUCAGUGUUGAGGGUGUUAGGUGCCAAGUUUCGCGUCUCUCUGGAUGA